GGGGGCAACCCUGGCGGCGAGCGGCGAACGGGUGAGUAAUACAUCGGAACGUACCCAGGAGUGGGGGAUAACACAUCGAAAGAUGUGCUAAUACCGCAUACGCCCUGAGGGGGAAAGCGGGGGACCGCAAGGCCUCGCGCUGUUGGAGCGGCCGAUGUCGGAUUAGCUAGUUGGUGGGGUAAGGGCCUACCAAGGCGACGAUCCGUAGCUGGUCUGAGAGGAUGAUCAGCCACACUGGGACUGAGACACGGCCCAGACUCCUACGGGAGGCAGCAGUGGGGAAUUUUGGACAAUGGGGGCAACCCUGAUCCAGCCAUUCCGCGUGAGUGAAGAAGGCCUUCGGGUUGUAAAGCUCUUUCGGCAGGAACGAAACGGCGGGCUCUAACAUAGCCUGUCAAUGACGGUACCUGAAGAAGAAGCACCGGCUAACUACGUGCCAGCAGCCGCGGUAAUACGUAGGGUGCGAGCGUUAAUCGGAAUUACUGGGCGUAAAGCGUGCGCAGGCGGUUUUGUAAGACAGCUGUGAAAUCCCCGGGCUUAACCUGGGAACUGCGGUUGUGACUGCAAGACUAGAGUGCGGCAGAGGGGGGUGGUAUUCCACGUGUAGCAGUGAAAUGCGUAGAGAUGUGGAGGAACACCGAUGGCGAAGGCAGCCCCCUGGGUUGACACUGACGCUCAUGCACGAAAGCGUGGGUAGCAAACAGGAUUAGAUACCCUGGUAGUCCACGCCCUAAACGAUGCCAACUAGGUGUUGGGGAAGGAGACUUCCUUAGUACCGUAGCUAACGCGUGAAGUUGGCCGCCUGGGGAGUACGGUCGCAAGAUUAAAACUCAAAGGAAUUGACGGGGACCCGCACAAGCGGUGGAUGAUGUGGAUUAAUUCGAUGC
rnacentral:rRNA from 1 species